CACAGACCUUAAAUAUAAACACCUCCUCAAACACCACAAGAGACAAAAAUUUGUAAAGUUAAGGAGGGUAACUUAUAAAAGUACAACUUCCCAGUUUAUAUGAAAAUGGUUUAAUAAUACUGAAACUUAAAAGCUGAUAAAAUUUAUUGGCUACGACUACAUUUUUUCUCCAAUCACAGCAAAUAUUAUGAGACACUUAUCAAUGCAAAGCUUUUGAUCCUUUAUCAUGUACUCUGAACCCUAUGCACUACUAAAUAGGCAAUAUGAUACAAUCAAAGGUUUCUUUGGCAGACAUAAUUAUAUGUACCAAAACAUUAAACUGCGUAUUUUCCCUUAAACUUACCUGACUAAAGGCAUCUGAUCAAAAGACAAAAAGUGAACAAUUUUAAUAAGUAGUUGCAUUUAUCAAUAAGAGUCUACAAGGAAAAAUGAAAAUGCAUCUCAGACCAGAAUACCAUAACAAAACUUUUGUGGAAGCUGCAUUUUAUUUGAAAAUCCACCCAUUUUGCUAACAUACAUUUUAAUAUUGUAAACAAAAA
rnacentral:lncRNA from 10 species